rnacentral:rRNA from 1 species
UACAGAGGUCUCAAGCGUUGUUCGGAUUCAUUGGGCGUAAAGGGUGCGUAGGUGGCGCCGUAAGUCAGGUGUGAAAUUUCGGAGCUUAACUCCGAAACUGCAUUUUGAUACUGCGGUGCUUGAGGACUGGAGAGGAGACUGGAAUUUACGGUGUAGCAGUGAAAUGCGUAGAGAUCGUAAGGAAGACCAGUGGCGAAGGCGGGUCUCUGGACAGUUCCUGACACUGAGGCACGAAGGCCAGGGGGAGCAAACGGG